rnacentral:rRNA from 1 species
UACGAGAGGCCCGAGCGUUAAUCGGAAUCACUGGGCUUAAAGGGUGCGUAGGCGGAGCCGCAAGUGUCUCGUGAAAUCCCCCGUCUCAACCGGGGAACUGCGGGGCAUACUGCGGUUCUUGAGGCAGGUAGGGGUCGCUGGAACGCUAGGUGGAGCGGUGAAAUGCGUAGAUAUCUAGCGGAACGCCGAUGGUGAAGACAGGCGGCUGGGCCUAGCCUGACGCUGAGGCACGAAAGCGUGGGGAGCAAACAGG